rnacentral:rRNA from 1 species
GUGGGGAAUCUUAGACAAUGGGGGAAACCCUGAUCUAGCCAUGCCGCGUGAGCGAUGAAGGCCUUAGGGUUGUAAAGCUCUUUCAGCUGGGAAGAUAAUGACGGUACCAGCAGAAGAAGCCCCGGCUAACUCCGUGCCAGCAGCCGCGGUAAUACGGAGGGGGCUAGCGUUGUUCGGAAUUACUGGGCGUAAAGCGCGCGUAUGCGGACCAGAAAGUUGGAGGUGAAAUCCCAGGGCUCAACCUUGGAACUGCCUUCAAAACUCCUGGUCUGGAGUUCGAGAGAGGUGAGUGGAAUUCCGAGUGUAGAGGUGAAAUUCGUAGAUAUUCGGAGGAACACCAGUGGCGAAGGCGGCUCACUGGCUCGAUACUGACGCUGAGGUGCGAAAGCGUGGGGAGCAAACAGGAUUAGAAACCCUGGUAGUCC